rnacentral:rRNA from 1 species
UACGAAGGGGGCUAGCGUUGCUCGGAAUCACUGGGCGUAAAGCGCACGUAGGCGGAUGUGUCAGUCAGGGGUGAAAUCCCGGAGCUCAACUCCGGAACUGCCUCUGAUACAGCACGUCUUGAGUUCGAGAGAGGUGGGUGGAAUUCCUAGUGUAGAGGUGAAAUUCGUAGAUAUUAGGAAGAACACCGGUGGCGAAGGCGGCCCACUGGCUCGAUACUGACGCUGAGGUGCGAAAGCGUGGGGAGCAAACAGG